UUUCCUACCAGAAUGGAUUCUAUAGAACACUUUCCUAUCAGAAUGGAUUCUAUAGAACACUUUCCUAUCAGAGUGGAUUCCAUCCUCUUUCAAUGCUUGACAGCAACAUAAAAUAAACAUUUAUGUGGGUGUAUUCUCUGUUUACCCAGAAGUUAAAUCUCAUGUAGUUUGGUCAGUCUGUCCACAAGAGAUUAACAGGGGUGUGAAACCAUGUAUAACCUUCAUAGUGACAGCAGAGUGUUGGGAAUAUGGCUCCUUUUCCCACUACUGAAAAAGAUCUCUCGGCUGCUCCAUCACAUCCUACAAUGAUGAUGUCAUUAUAAUCUUUAGCCCAGAUGUUUUGGUCUGUUCUAGACAUGAUACAAACACAUUCAGAAACACAUAAAUACAAAUAUUACUUUGAUAUGAUUUAUUUUAAAAUUGAAAAUACAGCUUUAGAUGUUGAGACACAAAUAACGCAACUUAUCCAGUAUAGGCCAGUCAAACCAAGACAACGCCAUGAGGGAGUUAGGUUCAACAGCCUGUCAAACCAAGACAACGCCAGGAGGGAGUUAGGUUCAACAGCAUGUCAAACCAAGACAACGCCAUGAGGGAGUUAGGUUCAACAGCCAGUCAAACCAAGACAACGCCAUGAGGGAGUUAGGUUCAACAGCCAGUCAAACCAAGACAACGCCAGGAGGGAGUUAGGUUCAACAGCCAGUCAAACCAAGACAACGCCAUGAGGGAGUUAGGUUCAACAGCCAGUCAAACCAAGACAACGCCAUGAGGGAGUUAGGUUCAACAGCCUGUCAAACCAAGACAACACCAUGAGGGAGUUAGGUUCAACAGCCUGUCAAACCAAGACAACGCCAGGAGGGAGUUAGGUUCAACAGCCAGUCAAACCAAGACAACGCCAUGAGGGAGUUAGGUUCAACAGCCUGUCAAACCAAGACAACACCAUGAGGGAGUUAGGUUCAACAGCCUGUCAAACCAAGACAACACCAGGAGGGAGUUAGGUUCAACAGCCAGUCAAACCAAGACAACACCAGGAGGGAGUUAGGUUCAACAGCCAGUCAAACCAAGACAACGCCAUGAGGGAGUUAGGUUCAACAGCCUGUCAAACCAAGACAACGCCAUGAGGGAGUUAGGUUCAACAGCCAGUCAAACCAAGACAACGCCAUGAGGGAGUUAGGUUCAACAGCCAGUCAAACCAAGACAACGCCAGGAGGGAGUUAGGUUCAACAGCCUGUCAAACCAAGACAACACCAUGAGGGAGUUAGGUUCAACAGCCUGUCAAACCAAGACAACGCCAUGAGGGAGUUAGGUUCAACAGCCAGUCAAACCAAGACAACGCCAUGAGGGAGUUAGGUUCAACAGCCUGUCAAACCAAGACAACGCCAGGAGGGAGUUAGGUUCAACAGCCUGUCAAACCAAGACAACGCCAGGAGGGAGUUAGGUUCAACAGCCUGUCAAACCAAGACAACGCCAUGAGGGAGUUAGGUUCAACAGCCAGUCAAACCAAGACAACGCCAUGAGGGAGUUAGGUUCAACAGCCUGUCAAACCAAGACAACGCCAGGAGGGAGUUAGGUUCAACAGCCUGUCAAACCAAGACAACGCCAUGAGGGAGUUAGGUUCAACAGCCUGUCAAACCAAGACAACGCCAGGAGGGAGUUAGGUUCAACAGCCUGUCAAACCAAGACAACGCCAUGAGGGAGUUAGGUUCAACAGCCUGUCAAACCAAGACAACGCCAUGAGGGAGUUAGGUUCAACAGCCUGUCAAACCAAGACAACGCCAGGAGGGAGUUAGGUUCAACAGCCUGUCAAACCAAGACAACGCCAUGAGGGAGUUAGGUUCAACAGCCUGUCAAACCAAGACAACGCCAUGAGGGAGUUAGGUUCAACAGCCUGUCAAACCAAGACAACGCCAUGAGGGAGUUAGGUUCAACAGCCUGUCAAACCAA